CUUACAUACAGUGUUAUUGCUGGGAUGAACAUACAAAUCUAGCAGCAGGUUAGUCCUGCUUCCUCUUCCUGCUCAGUUUCCAGAGGCAUAGUUUCAAGCACUUUACUAUCAGUAUU